rnacentral:rRNA from 1 species
GACGAACGCUGGCGGCGUGCCUAACACAUGCAAGUCGAGCGAGUGAAUCUCCUUCGGGAGUGAAGCUAGCGGCGGACGGGUGAGUAACACGUGGGCAACCUGCCUCAUAGAGGGGAAUAGCCUUCCGAAAGGAAGAUUAAUACCGCAUAGGAUUGUAGCUUCGCAUGAAGAAGCAAUUAAAGGAGCAAUCCGCUAUGAGAUGGGCCCGCGGCGCAUUAGCUAGUUGGUGAGGUAACGGCUCACCAAGGCGACGAUGCGUAGCCGACCUGAGAGGGUGAUCGGCCACAUUGGGACUGAGGAACGGCCCAGACUCCUACGGGAGGCAGCAGUGGGGAAUAUUGCACAAUGGGGGAAACCCUGAUGCAGCAACGCCGCGUGAGUGAUGACGGCCUUCGGGUUGUAAAGCUCUGUCUUCAGGGACGAUAAUGACGGUACCUGAGGAGGAAGCCACGGCUAACUACGUGCCAGCCGCCGCAGUAAUAC